rnacentral:rRNA from 1 species
UACGUAGGGUGCGAGCGUUAAUCGGAAUUACUGGGCGUAAAGCGUGCGCAGGCGGUUCGUUGUGUCGGCGGUGAAAGCCCCGGGCUCAACCUGGGAAUGGCCGUUGAAACUGGCGAACUGGAGUGUGGCAGAGGGGGGUGGAAUUCCGCGUGUAGCAGUGAAAUGCGUAGAGAUGCGGAGGAACGCCGAUGGCGAAGGCAGCCCCCUGGGCUGACACUGACGCUCAGGCACGAAAGCGUGGGGAGCAAACAGG